GAUGUCAUGACACGCAAGUGAAUAGGAUUUAAGUGAGGGAGAGCUGUGCAAAGUCACUAGCCUCACUCUCCCCUGCAGCCAUCUGGAUCCAAUCAGGAUGUCUGGAUGUGGCUGGUUGAAAAAUAUGGCCCCAUCUAUACUCUUUAUUUUGGAACUGAGCGUGUUGUGGUGCUACAUGGAUAUGACAUUUUGAAGGAAGCUCUAAUUGAUCAAGGUGAUGGUUUUAUAGGGAGAGGAAUUAUACCACUGUGUGAAGAUGUACUCAAAGGACAAGGAAUUGUUUUCAGUCGUGGAGAGAGGUGGAAGCAAAUUUGCAGAUCCUAAGGCACUUUGGGAUGGGAAAGAGAAGCAAUGAAGAGAGAGUUCAAGAAGAAGCCCAAUGCCUGGUGGAGGAGCUCAGGAAAACAAAGGGUUGGUUUUCAGUUCUUUCCUCCUGGGCAUGUGGGGUCCAGCUGCUCACCCAUCCUCUGUCCUAAAUACUGCUUGCUUUGGGAGUCAUUCUAAAAGUCUCUACAUUGGUCCACUGACCAGGUAAUCCCUCUGCUGGGCCAAGGAACUCCCUUCUGUCUUCUCAUACUCAGGUAUUGUAAGCCUAUCUAGUUUUCCUAUAAGGGGUAAAGGAAAUUGUCCAGGAGAAAGACAUUCAUUGGCCUUUGAGGAAUUAUAUCCUCAUAACCAGGUAUAGGCAGAAGAGAUGUCCAGCUCCUUUGUGAUUGGAAACAUUUCAGUUAAAGCUGUUUUUUCCUCCUUUGGUAACUUUUUCUACAUUAGGUCAGCCCAUGAUCCCACCUUCAUCCUUGGCAGUGCCCCAUGCAAUGUGAUCUGCUCUAUCCUCUUCCAUGAUUGAUUCAAGUACAGUGACGAGAAAUAUCUAAAUCUCAUGAACUUGUUAAAAGAAAAUUUUCAGGUGCUUAACUCACCAUGGGCACAGGUAAAGCCAGAACUGUGUUCUUAUUCUAUGGUUAUUUGCUGAAUUUCGGCAAGAGAAUGAAUGUACCAUAGGCUCUCAUCUCUUAGCAAGGUCCCCAACACUCAUGAGUAUACACACACACACACACACACACACCCCCACGCUGACACUCUAAGACACAUUCACAUAUCAUGCACCUGGAUAUCCCAAGUGGGAAAGUGGUCACAAAUGUGGCCAAGUAAAGUAGUUAUCAACAAAGAGCCUGCCCGGGGCAUUCUGGAGGGAUUAGGGAGGAUAGCUGGCCAAAGCUAAGUCAUCAAGCCACUUAGGCCAAUAAUCUACACUGAUUCGGGGAAAUGCUAUGGCCUAGCCUUUAUAAUGGAUGGACAUAUAGGAUCAAAGCCUUCAUUCACUGAAGUCAGAACUAAGGUUCCUCACGAAAGCAGCUUUCUUUUCUUUGACCCUUCUUCUGUUCCACUUUCCAUCCAGGAUACAUAUUCUAGCUAAACACCUGUCUGGUAGAAUGAAAGAUUGUUUAGAAUGAGGACUGCUUUAUUGUUGUCUAUGUUAUUGUGGCUUAGCACAGGUCUGCGCUAGUGAGUGCUAA